UGAGGAACAUGACCUUCGGCGGAGGAUAGCCGGCCCAACGGCCGGGUAAUACCGCGUACGACCACUCGGGGACAUCCCCAGGUGGUGAAAGCAGCAAUGCGCCGAUGGAGUGCCUCGCGGCCUAUCAGCUAGUUGGUGAGGUAACGGCUCACCAAGGCGACGACGGGUAGCUGGUCUGAGAGGAUGGCCAGCCACAUUGGGACUGAGACACGGCCCAAAACUCCGUACGGGAGCAG
rnacentral:rRNA from 1 species